UAGGGAAUCUUCGGCAAUGGGGGGAACCCUGACCGAGCAACGCCGCGUGAGUGAAGAAGGUUUUCGGAUCGUAAAGCUCUGUUGUUAAGGAAGAACGAGUGUGAGAAUGGAAAGUUCAUGCUGUGACGGUACUUAACCAGAAAGGGACGGCUAACUACGUGCCAGCAGCCGCGGUAAUACGUAGGUCCCGAGCGUUGUCCGGAUUUAUUGGGCGUAAAGCGAGCGCAGGCGGUUAGAAAAGUCUGAAGUGAAAGGCAGUGGCUCAACCAUUGUAGGCUUUGGAAACUGUUUAACUUGAGUGCAGAAGGGAAGAGUGGAAUUCCAUGUGUAGCGGUGAAAUGCGUAGAUAUAUGGAGGAACACCGGUAGCGAAAGCGGCUCUCUGGUCUGUAACUGACGCUGAGGCUCGAAAGCGUGGGGAGCGAACAGG
rnacentral:rRNA from 1 species